AGCUUCAAUGCUACAGGUUUUACCAUAUAAUUCUACCUAAAAAAGAUGAAACAUUUCUCCACUCUACUUGCAACAGAACCAGCUUCCAAAGGGAUUUCACAUUAACAACUAAAACACAAAUGGGAAUGAGCAUAAAAGAGGGAAGAGAGCUUACAAGCCAAGUUCUGAUCCCCCAAUCUCGUGGACAGAAGCAACUAAACUUCCACAGGUGACACCAGCGCCUUGGCAGCGAGCUGGAACUUUGAAGGCUCUUUCUCCCAGAGGGGUAAGUGGACAUUCCCUAAAGGAAUGACUACAUGCUGAGUUGACAACACCAAAGUUACUGUAGCUAUGAAAACGCAGACCCGGGGGAAAACAGCUAAUUCAUGCAUUUACUGAAUCACCCGAUUCCUGUUAAUGCACAACAGAAGUACUGUGUGUUUAACUGCAAGGAGCCAAGUCCAUCUAUUACUGCAGCCCAAGGCACUUGUACAAUAGCAAAGGAUUUGGCCCUAAGUGAAUACAAUGUUUGCAUGAGAAACAGUAGCAUCCCAAGAGUCAAAGCUCCCAAAGCUAAGCUUUUUGUUUCAUCUUGCACGGCUGGAAGUCUAAUGGUCAUCGAAGCACCUAAAUGUUAAGAACUCUUUGGAAAUGAAGCAUAGGUACCCAAGUUAUAUAGACCUGCUACAAACUUUCAGUUGGCAUAAUCAGAAUUAUGGAGGCUUAUUAAAAAAUGCUACUUUAUUUUUAAAAAGGAACAUGUAAUAAAUGCAGAAAAGGAGGAGGGGGGGGAUCCCUGUUUAGUCUGGAUUUUCAAAAGAUACUUAGAUCUUCAGUUUCCACUUACACAUAGGGACUUGAAAAAAAAAGUAAAUCACAGAAGCCUCUGAAUAAAAGUACUCCCAGCCUUCAAAUCCCUAAUGCUCCUAAAGCCCGGUGUUAAAGUAUUUUAUGACUGACUUCCUGAUGCUCACUUGAGGCUUCUCUAAGCCCUGACUUCUACCAGAAGGUCCAACUCUGCAAUAUUUACUUGCUGGAGCCAUCCCACUGACUUCAGUGGGAUUACUUGUGUAAGUCCCAAUCUCAGGCUUUGGCUGUGGUUCUCUAACUUUUUGCAUGUGUGCAGAAUUUUCUGCUUGUGUGGCAUUGCUGAUGUCUGUGCACACAUCCAGAGGUCCACCCAUAUGAAGCAAG